UACGUAGGGUGCGAGCGUUAAUCGGAAUUACUGGGCGUAAAGCGUGCGCAGGCGGUUCGUUGUGUCUGCUGUGAAAGCCCCCGGGCUCAACCUGGGAAUGGCAGUGGAAACUGGCGAGCUGGAGUGUGGCAGAGGGGGGGUGGAAUUCCGCGUGUAGCAGUGAAAUGCGUAGAGAUGCGGAGGAACACCGAUGGCGAAGGCAGCCCCCCUGGGCUGACACUGACGCUGAGGCGCGAAAGCGUGGGGGAGCGAACAGG
rnacentral:rRNA from 1 species